UACGGAGGGUGCGAGCGUUGUCCGGAAUCACUGGGCGUAAAGGGCGCGUAGGCGGCUUCUCAAGCGUGUGGUGAAAGUCCGGGGCUCAACCCCGGAUCGGCCGUGCGGACUGGGGAGCUCGAGUUCUGUAGAGGCGGGUGGAAUUCCGGGUGUAGCGGUGGAAUGCGUAGAGAUCCGGAAGAACACCGGUGGCGAAGGCGGCUAUCUGGAUCGUAACUGACGCUGAGGCGCGAAAGCGUGGAGAGCAAACAGG
rnacentral:rRNA from 1 species